GAGGCUGAUUUUAGAAAUGUACUUGAGGUGGCCUCCCUGCUUAGCCCCACCAGAAGACGGUGUUUCACAGAGCUGCUGCCGGCCUGGUGAUAGGUUCCCAAAUGUACCUCCCUUGAGGGGGAAGGAAGGUGAAUCAUAUCCAGACAGGAUCCCAGCUCAGUCAAUAACCACACACAAACUUUGCUAAAACGGCACUAAGGUUGCAAAGUCAAGAUUUCGGCACUAACGCUCGCUGAGCACCGCGUGCAUGCGUGUGUGCCAUCAGCCCUGUUUCGGGAGUGCCCUGCAGCGGUGUGCCAGCCCUCACACCACUCAUCAGCGGGAUUUGGACCUCGAAGCUCACCACCCAGAUCCCCGCCGCGGACCUCGUGGAGUAAGGGAUGCCUGCACAGACUGUCUGUAGGCCAGGAGGGGAGAGGGGUUGAGACACGGGCACCCCAAGGGCUUUCACAUGCCUUCACCCACAGCAGCCACAUGGAGGUUCGGAGAUCUGCGGUCCCAGCUGAGGAGGGUACUCUUGUCCUUGGAUGAGAAUUUAGUGUUGCUCUUAAAUCCUGUUUGGAUGGACUUCCAGCAAGCCCCAGACAGCUGACAGCUUGGUUGCACAGCAUGUGAGAUAGGACCAUUUGGUACAUGGUGCACGGAGCAGGCACGGGGAAAAGCUACUGCUUUGGACAAGGUCUCGUGUGGUGGGCAGGUUUCCAAAGCAGCCCACCCCUUCCCUGCUCUCCUGGGGCUGGGAGGAUGCAGGUAACCUGCUUUGUUGCCCCACUCCACAGAGCCCCGAGUCCAGCCACAUUGCCCACCUUCACGGCCCAGCCGCUGCAGCAUGUUCAGGCAGGCCCUCUUGGCUCUCAAGACCCAGCAAGCACAAUGCCAAAUCGGCAGAGGUUGGCAGCACCCAGAGGCAAUGCCCAGGGCUGGGAGGAAGGUGGGAGACCUGGGGUAGAGGAAGCGAUGGUGGCCCCAACAAUGCAGUUCGAUGACAUGCCGUUGGAGAUCUUGGCAGCAGCCGUGCUUGGUAGCAGGCCAAGGGAUGGCCAUGCUGGUCAGCAAGCUGAGCUGUGUCCUGUGCUGUCCUGAGCACCAAUGCAGUUGGAUGCUAAAUGUUCAUAAUUGUUGGACCCGAAGCUUUACCCUGGAUUGCGCCCUGAGAAGAAACUCAACUCCCUCUCUGAGUCUUUCUCUCUCAGGUAUACUGUAUAUCAAGUUACAUCUAUGCAGAGAUUGCUUAGGACAUUAGAGACAGGCAAGAGAAGCUGUAAGUAAAGAAAAAUUAUCAGAGAGAAGUUAAAAAAAUAUCAAAUAUCCCACAGCAGUCCGAAGUAAUUGCUCGGCUGCUAUAAAAGGUGAAAUUAAACAGGUCAAUUUGUAAAGCUGUGUCAUUUUAUGCCAGAUAAAGGAGCUAGCUUCUCAUCUGCUAGACUAUUUCAUCAUUUGCUUUUCCAAGAAUCCAUCUCUCUGCUAGUAAUGAUGUCAAAUAAAUCUUCACUAAAAUGUAAAAAUGUUUAUGAUUAUACUUACUGACCUGUUCCUUUAUUAAAUGAGGACAAUAGGAUGAUGCCCUGAUAUUUGCUAAUGGGUUAUUCCUAUCUAACCUUUUCUUGUUCAUCCAGAUCAUCUGUUUUCAUUUCAUCAUACAAUAGUUGCCAAUAAAAUCAAGUCAAUUAAAUUAAAGGUCUAUUACGUUCUUUGAAA